UACGGGGGGGGCAAGCGUUGUUCGGAAUUACUGGGCGUAAAGGGCUCGUAGGCGGCCAACUAAGUCGGACGUGAAAUCCCUCGGCUUAACCGGGGAACUGCUUCCGAUACUGGAUGGCUUGAGUGUGGGAGAGGGAUGCGGAAUUCCAGGUGUAGCAGUGAAAUGCGUAGAUAUCUGGAGGAACACCGGUGGCGAAGGCGGCAUCCUGGACCAUUACUGACGCUGAGUGAGCGAAAGCCAGGGGAGCAAACGGG
rnacentral:rRNA from 1 species